GGGGCCCGCACAAGGGGUGGAGUAUGUGUGUCGAUGCGACUCAACGCGAAGAACCAUACCAGGUCUUGACAUUGACUGCAAUCCCGAGAAAUCGGGACUUCCCUUCGGGGACAGGAAAACAGGUGGUGCACGGCUGUCGUCAGCUCGUGUCGUGAGAUGUUGGGUUAAGUCCCGCAACGAGCGCAACCCCUAUCGUUAGUUACCAUCAUUAAGUUGGGGACUCUAGCGAGACUGCCUGCGAUGAGCAGGAGGAAGGUGGGGAUGACGUCAAGUCAUCAUGCCCCUUAUGAACUGGGCUACACACGUGCUACAAUGGGGAGUACAAAGAGUCGCAAGUUGGUGACAACAAGCUAAUCUCAAAAAGCUCCUCUCAGUUCGGAUUGUAGUCUGCAACUCGACUACAUGAAGUUGGAAUCGCUAGUAAUCGCAAAUCAGCAACGUUGCGGUGAAUACGUUCUCGGGUCUUGUACACACCGCCCGUCACACCACGAGAGUUGGUUGCACCUGAAGUAGCAGGCCUAACCGUAAGGAGGGAUGCUCCUAAGGUGUGAUUAGCGAUUGGGGUGAAGUCGUAACAAGGUAUCCGUACCGGAAGGUGUGGAUGGAUCACCUCCUUUCUAAGGA
rnacentral:rRNA from 1 species